AUGACUCUGCGGAACUCGUGAUUCGGAUAGAAUGCCGGGGCGAGCCAACACUUUACAAAAGGGAGCAUGAUGAAGUGGCGUGGAAGUGUUAGCCCUGGCCUCGGCCGGGGCAAGACGGAAGCGCCCAGUCAGCACCCACCUGCUUACGCAGGUUCGUACCCACUGUCCACACGGUUCUGCGGAGUCUAU
rnacentral:other from 1 species